UGAGUACGAGCUGCUACGGCAGCGAAGUGGGUGACGUCAAGCUUCCAAGAAAAGCCCUAUACCCGUUAAGGCAUGACUGCCUGUACCCGAAACCGACACAGGUGGGGUGGUAGAGAAUACCGAGGGGCGCGAGGUAACUCUCUCUAAGGAACUCGGCAAAAUGGCCCCGUAACUUCGGGAGAAGGGGUGCCACCGCAAGGUGGUCGCAGUGAAGAGGCCCAGGCGACUGUUUACCAAAAACACAGGUCUCCGCUAAGUCGCAAGACGAUGUAUGGGGGCUGACGCCUGCCCAGUGCCGGAAGGUUAAGGAAGCUGGUCAGCGCAAGCGAAGCUAGCGACUGAAGCCCCGGUGAACGGCGGCCGUAACUAUAACGGUCCUAAGGUAGCGAAAUUCCUUGUCGGGUAAGUUCCGACCCGCACGAAAGGCGUAACGAUCUGGGCGCUGUCUCGGAGAGAGGCUCGGCGAAAUAGAAUUGUCUGUGAAGAUGCGGACUACGUGCACCCGGACAGAAAGACCCUAUGAAGCUUUACUGUAGCUUGGUAUUGUGCCCGGGCUCUGAAUGCGCAGGAUAGGUGGGAGGCUUUGAUCCAUUGCUUGCGGGUGAUGGUGAGCCAACGGUGAGAUACCACUCUUUCAGAGCUAGGGUUCUAACGGUCACCCGUUAUCCGGGGACCGGACAGUAUCAGGUGGGCAGUUUGACUGGGGGCGGUCGCCUCCUAAAAGGUAACGGAGGCGCGCAAAGGUUCCCUCAGGCUGGUUGGAAAUCAGCCGACGAGUGUAAAGGCAGAAGGGAGCUUGACUGUGAGACCAACAAGUCGAACAGGGACGAAAGUCGGCCUUAGUGAUCCGACGGUUCUGAGUGGAAGGGCCGUCGCUCAACGGAUAAAAGUUACUCUAGGAUAACAGGCUGAUCUCCCCCAAGAGUUCACAUCGACGGGGAGGUUUGGCACCUCGAUGUCGGCUCGUCGCAACCUGGGGCUGAAGUCGGUCCCAAGGGUUGGGCUGUUCGCCCAUUAAAGCGGUACGCGAGCUGGGUUCAGAACGUCGUGAGACAGUUCGGUCCAUAUCCGGUGCAUGCGCAGGAACAUUGAGAGGAUUUCUCCCUAGUACGAGAGGACCGGGAGGAACGUACCUCUGGUGUACCAGUUAUCGUGCCAACGGUAAACGCUGGGUAGCCAUGUGCGGAGCGGAUAACCGCUGAAAGCAUCUAAGUGGGAAGCCCACCUCAAGAUGAGUGUUCCCAUGGCACAAGCCAGUAAGGUCACGGGAAGAACACCCGUUGAUAGGCUCUACGUGGAAGCGCAGUAAUGCGUGAAGCGGAGGAGUACUAAUAGACCGAGGGCUUGACC
rnacentral:rRNA from 1 species